GCAAGUCGAACGGUAACAGGCCGCGCGCAUCCUUCGGGGUGUUGUGGCGCUGACGAGUGGCGGACGGGUGAGUAAUGCUUAGGAAUCUACCCAGAAGUGGGGGACAACCCGAGGAAACUCGGGUUAAUACCGCGUAAGCCCUACGGGGGAAAGCGGGGGACUCUUCGGAGCCUCGCGCUUUUGGAUGAGCCUAAGUCGGAUUAGCUUGAUGGUGAGGUAAAAGCUCACCAUGGCGACGAUCCGUAGCUGGUCUGAGAGGACGAUCAGCCACACUGGGACUGAGACACGGCCCAGACUCCUACGGGAGGCAGCAGUGGGGAAUAUUGGACAAUGGGGGCAACCCUGAUCCAGCAAUGCCGCGUGUGUGAAGAAGGCCUGCGGGUUGUAAAGCACUUUCAGUAGAGAAGAAAAGCUCGAGGUUAAUACCCUCGGGUCUUGACGUAACCUAAAGAAGAAGCACCGGCUAACUCCGUGCCAGCAGCCGCGGUAAUACGGAGGGUGCGAGCGUUAAUCGGAAUUACUGGGCGUAAAGCGCGCGCAGGCGGCUGGGUCAGUCGGAUGUGAAAGCCCCGGGCUUAACCUGGGAAUUGCAUUCGAUACUGCCCGGCUAGAGUAUGGG
rnacentral:rRNA from 1 species